rnacentral:misc_RNA from 1 species
GUUCCUUUAACAGGUUUUAUAAGUGAGUAAACUACUAUUUAGUCCCUCAAAUAUGUUAAAACUUAAUGACUUGACCCUCAUAUUUUCAAAAAUAAAUGAUUUAGUCUCUUACAUUUGAUUCUGUUGAGUAUUUGGCCCCUCUGUCCAUUUUUGUCAAUUGAACCAUUAGUCAAGGGACUGAAAUAUGGUCAACAAGGAACAAAAGUGUUAAUAAUGGUAAAAAUGCAGGGACAAAAGUGUCUAUCAUUAAUGGCAAAAGUUGAGAAA